rnacentral:rRNA from 1 species
AAUACAUGCAAGUCGAACGCUUUGUGGUUCAACUGAUUUGAAGAAGCUUGCUCAGAUAUGACGAUGGACAUUGCAAAGAGUGGCGAACGGGUGAGUAACACGUGGGAAACCUACCUCUUAGCAGGGGAUAACAUUUGGAAACAGAUGCUAAUACCGUAUAACAAUGACAACCGCAUGGUUGUUAUUUAAAAGAUGGUUCUGCUAUCACUAAGAGAUGGUCCCGCGGUGCAUUAGCUAGUUGGUAAGGUAAUGGCUUACCAAGGCGAUGAUGCAUAGCCGAGUUGAGAGACUGAUCGGCCACAAUGGGACUGAGACACGGCCCAUACUCCUACGGGAGGCAGCAGUAGGGAAUCUUCCACAAUGGGCGAAAGCCUGAUGGAGCAACGCCGCGUGUGUGAUGAAGGGUUUCGGCUCGUAAAACACUGUUGUAAGAGAAGAAUGACAUUGAGAGUAACUGUUCAAUGUGUGACGGUAUCUUACCAGAAAGGAACGGCUAAAUACGUGCCAGCAGCCGCGGUAAUACGUAUGUUCCAAGCGUUAUCCGGAUUUAUUGGGCGUAAAGCGAGCGCAGACGGUUAUUUAAGUCUGAAGUGAAAGCCCUCAGCUCAACUGAGGAAUUGCUUUGGAAACUGGAUGACUUGAGUGCAGUAGAGGAAAGUGGAACUCCAUGUGUAGCGGUGAAAUGCGUAGAUAUAUGGAAGAACACCAGUGGCGAAGGCGGCUUUCUGGACUGUAACUGACGUUGAGGCUCGAAAGUGUGGGUAGCAAACAGGAUUAGAUACCCUGGUAGUCCACACCGUAAACGAUGAGUGCUAGGUGUUUGAGGGUUUCCGCCCUUAAGUGCCGCAGCUAACGCAUUAAGCACUCCGCCUGGGGAGUACGACCGCAAGGUUGAAACUCAAAGGAAUUGACGGGGACCCGCACAAGCGGUGGAGCAUGUGGUUUAAUUCGAAGCAACGCGAAGAACCUUACCAGGUCUUGACAUCCCUUGACAACUCCAGAGAUGGAGUGUUCCCUUCGGGGACAAGGUGACAGGUGGUGCAUGGUUGUCGUCAGCUCGUGUCGUGAGAUGUUGGGUUAAGUCCCGCAACGAGCGCAACCCUUAUUACUAGUUGCCAGCAUUCAGUUGGGCACUCUAGUGAGACUGCCGGUGACAAACCGGAGGAAGGUGGGGAUGACGUCAAAUCAUCAUGCCCCUUAUGACCUGGGCUACACACGUGCUACAAUGGCGUAUACAACGAGUUGCCAACCCGCGAGGGUGAGCUAAUCUCUUAAAGUACGUCUCAGUUCGGAUUGUAGGCUGCAACUCGCCUACAUGAAGUCGGAAUCGCUAGUAAUCGCGGAUCAGCACGCCGCGGUGAAUACGUUCCCGGGUCUUGUACACACCGCCCGUCACACCAUGAGAGUUUGUAACACCCAAAGCCGGUGGGGUAACCUUCGGGAGCCAGCCGUCU